rnacentral:rRNA from 1 species
AUAGCUUCUAGUAAAAUUUGCUGGAAAGCAAAACCAAAGAAGGUGAUAGUCCUGUAUGCGAAAGGAACUAUGUACAUUUGAUAAGUGAACUUGAGUACGGCGGAACACGUGAAAUUCUGUCGGAAUCAUCCGCGACUAUGCGGAAAGGCUAAAUACGUAUUUUGAUCGAUAGUGAACAAGUACCGUGAGGGAAAGCUGAAAAGAACCCCGGAAGGGGAGUGAAAUAGAAUCUGAAACCGUAUACUUACAAGGAGUCGGAGCCAAUUUAUUUGGUGACGGCGUGCCUAUUGAAGAAUGAGCCAACGAGUCUGUCUUUGUGGCAGGUUAAGUCCUUCGGGACGAAGCCAGAGUGAAAGCGAGCCUUAACGGGCGUUAGUCGCAAGGAUAGGACCCGAAACCGAGUGACCUAACCAUGGCCAGGGUGAAGCUUGUGUGAAAACAAGUGGAGGCCCGAACCCAAGCACCGUGCAAAAUGCUGGGAUGAGCUGUGGUUAGCGGAGAAAUUCCAAUCGAACUCGGUAAUAGCUGGUUCUCUCCGAGAUAUGUUUUGGCAUAGCGUCGGUUAAUAGCGUGAUGGGGGUAGAGCACUGAUUGGGUUCGACGUCAGCAAUGAUAGUCAACCUAGCCAAACUCCGAAUACCAUUACGUGUUCCCGGCAGUCAGACCAUGGGGGCGAAGCUCCAUUGGUCGAGAGGGAAAGAGCCCAGAUCUCAAGCUAAGGUCCCUAAAUUAUUACUAAGUGUAAAAGGUAGUGAGAAGACUCAUACAACCAGGAGGUUGGCUUAGAAGCAGCCAUCCUUUAAAGAUAGCGUAAUAGCUCACUGGUCAAGUUUUCUUGCGCCGAAAAUAUACCGGGGCUAAGUAAUAUACCGAAGCUGAGGGUGUGAUAAAUUUAUUUAUCACGCGGUAGGAGAGCAUUUCUAACUGCAUUGAAGCUGUACUGUGAGGUAUGGUGGAGCGUUAGGAAGGGAGAAUGUUGGCAUGAGUAGCAAAAAGACAUGUGAGAAUCAUGUCCACCGAAAAUCUAAGGUUUCCACAGCAACGAGAAUCGACUGUGGGUUAGUCUGGACCUAAGGCGAGGCCGAAAGGCGUAGUCGAUGGACAGUAGGUUAAUAUUCCUGCACCAGAUAUUAUUUCCGAUGGGGGGACGCUUGUUCGAAUUUCCUGUGCCCUAUGGCUAUGGCAUUGGGGGUUUGGGGUGGUCGUAUAGGUAAAUCCGUACGACAUAUACACUCUGAAUCAUCGCGACUCCAACUAUGUUGGGGAAGAGGAAAAGAGAAUGGGUCAAGAAAAUCCUCUAGGGCUAAGUAAUAUCUGCCAGUACCAAAACCGACACAGGUAGAUGGGUGUGAAAGCACUAAGGUGUACGAGAGAAACAUUGUUAGGGAACUCGGCAAAACAGCGGCCGUAACUUCGGGAUAAGGCCUGGUUCUUUUCGGGAGAAAAGGACCUUCAACAAAUGAUUGCAAGCGACUGUUUACCAAAAACACAGCUCCCUGCUAAACUGCAAAGUGAUGUAUAGGGGGUGAUGCCUGGCCAGUGUCCGAACGUUAAGGAAGGGGGUUAUCUACUUCGGUAGAGAAGCUUUUGACUGAAGCGCGGAUGAACGCCGGCCGUAACUAUAACGGUCCUAAGGUAGCGAAAUUCCUUGUCGGGUGAGUUCCGACCUGCACGAAUGGCAUAACGAUUUGCAAACUGUCCCAACAAUGUACUCGGCGAAAUUGCGGUAAGAGUGAAGAUGCUCUUUACGCGUAGUCGGACGAAAAGACCCCGUGAAGCUUUACUACAGGUUGUCAUUGGGUUCAUGUUCUAUAUGUUCAGUAAUAGGUGGGAGACCUUCGGGUCGCCAGUGAGAUACCACCCUUGUAUUGUGUGAAUCCUAACCAAGCACCAUGAAUCUGGUGUUUGGAACAGUGGCUGCUGGGUAGUUUGACUGGGGCGGUGGCCUCCUA